rnacentral:rRNA from 1 species
ACAAUGGAGAGUUUGAUCCUGGCUCAGGAUGAACGCUAGCGGCAGGCUUAAUACAUGCAAGUCGUGGGGCAGCAUGGUGUAGCAAUACACUGAUGGCGACCGGCAAACGGGUGCGGAACACGUACGCAACCUUCCUUUAAGUGGAGAAUAGCCCGGGGAAACCCGGAUUAAUACUCCGUAACAUUAUGAAGUGGCAUCACUUUAUAAUUAUAGCUCCGGCGCUUAGAGAUGGGCGUGCGUCUGAUUAGGUAGUUGGCGGGGUAACGGCCCACCAAGCCUACGAUCAGUAACUGGUGUGAGAGCACGACCAGUCACACGGGCACUGAGACACGGGCCCGACUCCUACGGGAGGCAGCAGUAAGGAAUAUUGGUCAAUGGACGCAAGUCUGAACCAGCCAUGCCG